rnacentral:rRNA from 1 species
UACGUAGGGUGCAAGCGUUAAUCGGAAUUACUGGGCGUAAAGCGUGCGCAGGCGGUUAUGUAAGACAGAGGUGAAAUCCCCGGGCUCAACCUGGGAACUGCAUUUGAGACUGCAUAGCUAGAGUACGGUAGAGGGGGAUGGAAUUCCGCGUGUAGCAGUGAAAUGCGUAGAUAUGCGGAGGAACACCGAUGGCGAAGGCAAUCCCCUGGACCUGUACUGACGCUCAUGCACGAAAGCGUGGGGAGCAAACAGG